CGAGUGUUUCAAAGCAAACACAGUAGUGUGCAAUGCUAAGCUCAAUCAUGCAUGUACUUACUUUGUUUGUUCUGAAAUGUUCU
rfam:Operophtera brumata OBRT01_Sc07565, whole genome shotgun sequence.